rnacentral:rRNA from 1 species
AUUGAACGCUGGCGGCAUGCCUUACACAUGCAAGUCGAACGGCAGCACGGGGCAACCUGGUGGCGAGUGGCGAACGGGUGAGUAAUGCAUCGGAACGCACCUUUCAGUGGGGGAUAACGUAGCGAAAGUUACGCUAAUACCGCAUAUUCUGUGAGCAGGAAAGCAGGGGAUCGCAAGACCUUGCGCUGAUUGAGCGGCCGAUGUCAGAUUAGCUAGUUGGUGAGGUAAAGGCUCACCAAGGCGACGAUCUGUAGCGGGUCUGAGAGGAUGAUCCGCCACGCUGGAACUGAGACACGGUCCAGACUCCUACGGGAGGCAGCAGUGGGGAAUUUUGGACAAUGGGGGCAACCCUGAUCCAGCCAUGCCGCGUGAGUGAAGAAGGCCUUCGGGUUGUAAAGCUCUUUCGGCCGGGAAGAAAUCGCACGGGCUAAUACCCUGUGUGGAUGACGGUACCGGAAUAAGAAGCACCGGCUAACAACGUGCCAGCCGCCGCCGUAAUAC